AUGGAUUUCAUCUAUUCUCCUUCACUUUUGUGAGCGGCAAAAUGUUUUCAUCCAUUCUCCUUCAUUCAUUUGUGAAACAGCUGUGUUCUUCAUAUGGAAACUCCAAUUAAUCAUCAAUCACUUCAAAAUCUUCUACAAAAUUAUGAAUACGUUUCCAUUUCUUUUCCCUUUAUUACCUUCACACGCUCUCUCUCUCUCCGAUUAAACUCCUUUCAGUGUCUUCCAUACCUAUGAAAACCCUAAUUGACAGUCGUAUUUAAUCAAAAUUGUAGUUUCUCAUACCUAUCAAAACCCUAAUUGAAACAUCAAUCAUGAUAGAGGCAGCGAAACCAGGCGGUGGUUGUGUCUAGCGGCGGCAGUGGGUCUAAUGUUGAUGGUGGAGAAGUCACGACAGCAGUGGUUUUGUGGUACUUGAAUCUUCGUCUCAAUCAUUCCCUACGCCAUCUAAUGUUUUACAGAGAUGUUGAAAUAAGAUGCAAAUAGUGGAAAAGUGUCGUCUGAUGUACCUGCUGCACUCAAAGAAUUGAAUGAAUAUGUUGAUGAUUUUACCUUAGCAGAUUCCUCAGUCAGGAUUCAGAGAGGAUAUGAAGAAGAAGCAGGCACGUUUCAAGUAACGCACGCAAAAGUUGAGAAGGAGAUGGCUUCGGUUCAAGUUUUUCACAGAUAAGCACAAGAAAGCUUUGUUUGAAGCUCUAGAGAAGGUCAAAGCUGAGUUGAUGAUUCUGGGGUUCAUCUCACUGAUAUUGACUUUUACUCAGUAUUACAUUGCGGAAAUAUGCAUCCCAGUUGACGUUGCCGAUACAAUGUUGCCAUGUGCUAUAAAAGAUAAAGCGGAGAAAAAAGAAAAAGGAGCCCGUCAAUUGCUUCUAUGGUACGAGCAUGGUAGAUCAUUAGCUGGUGACUCGAAGUCUACCUGCAAGGAGGGGAAAGUGCCGAUUAUAACUGUGAAGGGGCUGCAUCAAUUGCACAUACUCAUAGUCUUUCUAGCGGUCUUACACAUUGCAUACAGUGCUAUUACAAUGGCUUUUGGGAGGUUAAAGACCCGCGGCUGGAAGAUGUGGGAGGAGGAGACAUCCUCGCACGACUAUGAAUUUUCCAAUGAUCCUUCACGAUUCAGGCUUACUCAUGAAACGUCUUUUGUCAGAGCACACACCCGAUUUUGGACUCAAAACCCGAUAUUCUUUUACAUUUUUUUCACAGAUAAGCACAAGAAAGCUUUGUUUGAAGCUCUAGAAAAGGUCAAAGCUGAGUUGAUGAUUCUGGGGUUCAUCUCACUGAUAUUGGCUUUUACUCAAUAUUACAUUGCGGAAAGAUAUGCAUCCCAGUUGAUGUUGCUGUUGCUGAUACAAUGUUGCCAUGUGCUAUAAAAGAUAAAGCGGAGAAAAAAGAAAAAGGAGCCCGUCGAUUGCUUCUAUGGUACGAGCAUGGUAGAUCAUUGGCUGGUGACUCAAAGUCUACCUGCAAGGAGGGGAAAGUGCCGAUUAUAACUGUGAAGUGGCUGCAUCAAUUGCACAUACUCAUAUUCUUUCUGGCGGUCUUACACGUUGCAUACAGUGCUAUUAGCGUGAGUCAAAAUAGUUGGGUCGAGUAAGUCUGCAAAUAUCUUUAUCUUUUCAUUUGAAAUAUUAUUAGCGUGUUAUUUGACUUAAAAACUAUAUUAUAAAAAUAUAACCGAACCCGAACCGAUUCGGUCAUUGGGUUCGAACAACCAACCCUCUGGAAGUAGCAAGUUCAGUUGUCCCUUCAAAUGAGCCACCACCUUUGCUUUCGAAAUGAACAUGUCAUUGUCAAUGUAGGUUUUUUAGUUGAGCACCAAUCCUCUAAAUGUUGCAAACCCACUUGAUCCGACCCGUUUAGACAAUUCUUCUCUUUACUAUACCGUUUCUUUCUUUCUGAGGUUGAAUUACACGUUAUGCUGGUAGCUAAACACGGGAAAAGUUGUAAGUUGGUUUUGUUUUUCACUUAAUAAAAUGGUGUUAUGUUGUUUGGAAGGCUAUUCAUGCAUGGUUAAGCUAUUUGCCAAUCAAAGGAGAUCUUUUUGAGGCUAAAGGUGUUCACGAGAUACUUUGUUCAUUGGUGGAAAGGCAAGUAUGGGCAAUGCUUUUUUUGGUUCUCCUUUACCUCUUUUUGCAUUGCUUCUAACAAACUCUGCUAUCUAUAUCACAAGUUAGACAUGGAACUUUAGGGUCCCAACAACCGAUAUAUGCCAAAAAUUGUUUCUAUAUUUGUUGAGGUUAGUUAUCCUUCAUUAAGAUAGUUUUUUGGUUAGUUAUAUUUUACUCUGGAAUGGGUCGCAUCAAUCUUUGGGGUACCAACUGAAUAAAUAAGAAAGUUUUGGUCUUUCUUAUCACACUAUGAUUUAGUAGUCUAAAAAACUUCAUUAGUAACACCAAGUGUACUUUUCAGGCUCAUGGGUUCAAGACAGUAUUAAUGAUCGGUAGUUGUUUUGUACCAAUUCGACUGAAUGAAUUCAAAUGUAUUAAAGAAUAUACUCCAAAUGAAAACGAAUGGACUUCACCAAAUUGAUGUCGGGUGUCCAUGAAAAAUACCGAUACUAAACCGAACCGUACCUAUUGAAUUUUGCCACCUAUUUUUUGUAUUUUUCGGGAUCGGUGCUUCCGAUUCGGCAAGAAACGGUAUUUUAUCCAAUUUUUUACCUUUGAAUACCGUACUUCGAUGCCGGUACUGGUAAUUAAAGCCAAAAACUAGCAGAUUUUUCAGAAAAAAAAAAACCCAAAAAAUAGCAUACUUUUUCAGCAAAAAAAACGUUAAACAAGUGCAGGUUUUUGUAGCACCCGGUUCGGCCAAGAAAACCACAAUUUUACCGGCAAAAAUACCUCACAAAACGCAGGUUUUUUCUGCGAAAAACCACAAAAAACGCAGUUUGUUUCAACGAAAAGGCAACCAGCAGCGUUGCUGCCGGUUUUUUCGACGAACGUUUUCGACAGACGAAAAUGCGUCGCUGCAGGUUUUUUGGACUGACGAAACAUUGUUUUUUCAGCGAUCUGCAGCCUCCGGUUUUUUUCGAUGAACGAUGCAGUGUGCAGGUAUUUCUGACGAACAACGCAGUCUGUAGCUUUUUGUGCGAAAAACCACAAAAGAACGCAGGUUUCUUUAGCGAAAAAUGCAACCAACAGUAGCGUCGCUGCAGAUUUUUUCAACGAACGUUUUUGAUGGACGAUAUAGCGUGCAGGUUUUUUCAGCGAUCUGUAGGUUUUUUGUUUGGUUUCGGUGAAAACAGCAACAACACAUGACAACACAGUUAUGCAGAGUGUUAGUUGUUACAACUUUUAUCAUCCUUGGAUUUAGCAAUCACCAAUCACCCGACUAUCAGGGAACCCAAUCUGCAAUAUAGUUUUGAUGUUCCAAUUGGGUUAGUUUGACCUCAGAAGUCAAAGUAAGAAGCAGUAUUGAAGUUUAAAUGGGUUAAUUUCAGCAUAUAUAUGGGGAAGUAUGCCAAUUUGGUUAUUUGUUGUUGGAAAAUGUGGAGAGAUUUCAAGGAUGCCUAUUCCUUAAGAUUUUGAAUCUGGUGCUCUUAAAGGAUUUUACUGAGUUGUUGAUCUUUGUGAGGCAAAAAGGUGAAAGGUGGUGAUGGAGGGUCUUGACGUGGUAGGGGUGGUGGGAAAAGUAUGCAUCAUUUAUAAGUUUGGUCAACAUUUAUAAAUAAUAUAAUUUAUUGUGAGACCAUCCGUGUAAUACACGGGUACUUAGACUAGUUUACUCUAUAUAAACACACAAUUUUUACUC